GCCACGUCUAAUGCUCAGAAGGUCAGCUGGACCCUGCGUGUCAUCGUUCUGCUUUACCACGCAUGCACUGAGAAGCUCAAGCUUUCCCAAGACUACUGGCUUGUGCCUCAGGAGACACUGUGACAUGACCUCUUUAAAAGAACUCUACUGUGGAAGCCUUUCUGCAUAGAAGAGGAUGGAAUGCCAGACGGGAGGUCAGAAUACAAAGAGGGUGGGAAUCUGAUGAUAAAAUUUUGGGAGCUUUUA
rnacentral:lncRNA from 1 species